UGAUUUUGAUUUUUGUUUUGGGCUGCGUUGUGCUUUGGGCCAGGGUUAAAUGUUUGGGUAGUUAAUUUGGGUUUGGUUUAGUGGGUUUUGUAAUCUAGAUGGCUAUUGGACUGUUAUAAUUGUUUGCUUGGUUUAUAUUUGGGUUUUUUAUUUUUUUUUCUGGUUUACUUUUGGUUUGCGGGCCCGGGCAAAUAUUGGGCCUUAGAGCUGCCCCUCUUUGCUCAUUGUCGUGUAACGAGAAUAGAGCAAAGACUAAAGAGGACCAAUUUUGCCCGGACGCGCUUGGGCUUUGGUACUCCUCUUCUUCAAAUGGCUUCAUUCCAUCCUACUGCAUCUUCAGAGGUAUAGGAAAUAGUGCUUC
rnacentral:lncRNA from 1 species